rnacentral:rRNA from 1 species
AGUGAACGCUGGCGGUAGGCCUAACACACGCAAGUCGAACGGCAGCACAGUAAGAGCUUGCUCUUACGGGUGGCGAGUGGCGGACGGGUGAGGAAUACAUCGGAAUCUACUUUUUCGUGGGGGAUAACGUAGGGAAACUUACGCUAAUACCGCAUACGACCUACGGGUGAAAGCAGGGGAUCUUCGGACCUUGCGCGAUUGAAUGAGCCGAUGUCGGAUUAGCUAGUUGGCGGGGUAAAGGCCCACCAAGGCGACGAUCCGUAGCUGGUCUGAGAGGAUGAUCACCCACACUGGAACUGAGACACGGGCCAGACCCCCACGGGAGGCAGCAGGGGGGAAUAUUGGACAAUGGGCGCAAGCCUGAUCCAGCCAUACCGGGGGGGUGAAGAAGGCCUUCGGGUUGUAAAGCCCUUUUGUUGGGAAAAAAAAGCAGCAGGUUAAACCCCCGCUGUUCUGACGGUACCCAAAGAAAAAGCACCGGCUGACUUCUU